rnacentral:rRNA from 1 species
AUUGAACGCUGGCGGCAGGCCUAACACAUGCAAGUCGAACGGUGACGAUCAAGCUUGCUUGGUCUGAUCAGUGGCGAACGGGUGAGUAACACGUGAGUAACCUGCCCCAGACUCUGGGAUAACCCCGGGAAACCGGAGCUAAUACCGGAUAUGACAUGCCCCUGCAUGGGGAGUGUGUGGAAAGUUUUUUCGGUCUGGGAUGGACUCGCGGCCUAUCAGCUUGUUGGUGAGGUAAUGGCUCACCAAGGCGACGACGGGUAGCCGGCCUGAGAGGGCGACCGGCCACACUGGGACUGAGACACGGCCCAGACUCCUACGGGAGGCAGCAGUGGGGAAUAUUGCACAAUGGGCGAAAGCCUGAUGCAGCGACGCCGCGUGAGGGAUGACGGCCUUCGGGUUGUAAACCUCUUUCAGCAGGGAAGAAGCGCAAGUGACGGUACCUGCAGAAGAAGCACCGGCUAACUACGUGCCAGCCGCCGCGGUAACAC